rnacentral:lncRNA from 1 species
UGGCCAGGCUGGUCUCAAACUCCUGACCUCAAGUGAUCCACCCACCUUGGCCUCCCAAAGUGCUGGGAUUACAGGCGUGAGGCAUCGCACCUGUCCUUAACUGUAAUCUUAAAGAGAGAAACCAGGAAAGACAAUUCUCAAACGGAACUUAAACUCUCAUCCCCUCCACGGGUUUGUCAGUGUGGACACAGGGACCUGCUUGAUGUUGGAGGGAGGAGGGUGAAGACAGAAAAACUACCUGUCGGGUAACUGUG